CAUCCAGACUCCUACGGGAGGCAGCAGUGGGGAAUAUUGCACAAUGGGGGAAACCCUGAUGCAGCGACGCCGCGUGAGUGAAGAAGUAUUUCGGUAUGUAAAGCUCUAUCAGCAGGGAAGAAAAUGACGGUACCUGAUUAAGAAGCCCCGGCUAACUACGUGCCAGCAGCCGCGGUAAUACGUAGGUGGCAAGCGUUGUCCGGAUUUACUGGGUGUAAAGGGCGUGCAGCCGGGAAGACAAGUCAGAUGUGAAAUCCCGCGGCUCAACCGCGGAACUGCAUUUGAAACUGUUUUUCUUGAGUAUCGGAGAGGUAAUCGGAAUUCCUAGUGUAGCGGUGAAAUGCGUAGAUAUUAGGAAGAACCCCAGUGGCGAAGGCGGAUUACUGGACGACAACUGACGGUGAGGCGCGAAAGCGUGGGGA
rnacentral:rRNA from 1 species